UAGAGUUUGAUCCUGGCUCAGGAUAAACGCUGGCGGCGUGCGUAACACAUGCAAGUUGGGCGACGACGUUUCUGAAGCAGAGAUGUGGAGGGGCGAGCGGAGCAGCGGACGGGUGAGUAUAACAUGAGAAGCUGUCCUGAAGCGGGGGACAACGUUUGGAAACGGACGCUAAUACCCCAUAGGCCGAGAGGUUAAAGCCGAGAGGUGCUUUAGGAGGUGCUCGUGACCUAUCAGCUAGCUGGUGAGGUAAAGGCUCACCAGGGCGACGACGGGUAGCCGGCCUGAGAGGGUGUACGGCCACACUGGGACUGAGAUACGGCCCAGACUCCUACGGGAGGCAGCAGUGGGGAAUAUUGGGCAAUGGGAGGAAUCCUGACCCAGCGACGCCGCGUGAACGAAGACGGUCUUAGGAUUGUAAAGUUCUUUUAUGUGGGAAGAAGGAAGUGACGGUACCACAUGAAUAAGCCCCGGCUAACUACGUGCC
rnacentral:rRNA from 1 species